AUGUAUCGGCAUGGUUCUGUCUGCCGUGGUCAUGCUCAGUGCCGGGCGCUGCACAUCGCCGCUAGCGUCCUGGCUAGAACGGCCUGUGUCGUGCAGCUGCAUCCUGUCGCUGCAGUUGGCGUUCUAGCUAGUGCCGUGAGCUGCGUUGUUGGGCGUCUCAAAGGCGUUCAAUCAGGUGAGCCAGAUGGAGUUCUGCUACAAAUUGUUCCCAUAGAACAUGCCCACCGUUGCCGGCUCGCUACUGUUCUGCGGCCUGGCUCUAUCAAACUACCUCAGCCCGGGCUCACUGCUCCUGUGUGUGUUGUGCACUACACGGCUGGCGGCAUCGAGGAGGAGGGGUGGCUCGCCGAGGACCUGAACAAGAUUUCACCCAAAACACAGUUUUGUAAAAGACCCUACUCAAAUUCUCCUAAUCGGGCCGGCUCCGCUCGACCCCCGCGUCGCUCCGCUUGGGCGACUCGGGGGGAAACUUCGCUCGUCGCCGGCGGCCACCUCUCGUGCGCCCCUCUCCGCCGCUACCGCUGGCCUCACCGCGGUGGCGGCAGCCCCCUGCCUCCGAAGGUGGCUCGGGGAGAUCCCGCGGCGGACGCGUGGUGCCGGGUGGUCGGGGUCGUCCCGGUGGCGACUUCUCCCGUGCUCGAAGGCGAGGGGCGCGGUGCGCGCUGGGGCAGGGUGGCGGUGUGGUGCCGCGAGGCUUGCUCGCCGGCGCCAGGGCGUGGCGCGCGCGGGCGUUCCCUCUCUGCGGCGGAUCUGGCUGGCGCGCUGGAUCCUGGCCUGCGGCCGGCUGUGGGCGUCAGGGCCGCGUUCCCUGGCGUCGCGCGUGGUGGUCGCGCCGUCUGCGGCUGCUCGGGUGGUGUGGCGGCGGGGCCAGGCCGGUGGUCCAGCCACUUCUCUCUUUCCUGCCAUAUCCAAGUCAGGGGCGGCUAG
rnacentral:rRNA from 1 species